AUUCUUUUAGUAUUAACCCAGUACAAUUGACUUCCAAUCAAUUAGUUUCGGCGAAACCCGAAAAAGAAUA
rnacentral:tRNA from 2 species